AUUGAACGCUGGCGGCCGGCCUAACACAUGCAAGUCGAACGAGUGGCGGACGGGUGAGUAAUGUCUGGGAAACUGCCUGAUGGAGGUGGAUAACUACUGGAACCGGUAGCUAAUACCGCAUACCAUCAGAUGUUCCCAGAUGGGAUUAGCUUGUUGGUGGGGUAACGGCUCACCAAGGCGCCGAUCCCUAGCUGGUCUGAGAGGAUGACCAGCAAAACUGGAACUGAGACACGGUCCAGAGUCCUACGGGAGGAAGCAGUGGGGAAUAGUGGACAAUGGGCGCAAGCCGGAUGCAGCCAUGCCGCGUGUAUGAAGAAGGCCUUCGGGUUGUAAAGUACUGUCAGCGGGGAGGCGUUACCCGCAGAAGAAGCACCGGCUAACUCCGUGCCAGCAGCCGCGGUAAUAC
rnacentral:rRNA from 1 species